rnacentral:pre_miRNA from 1 species
GCAAUAGGAGCCACUCAGGCUAGCCUAGGAGACUGCCUAUGAACCAUCUCAAAGGCCCACACACUUGAUCCUUUCAGUAUAAAGGACCUAGGCAAAUCAUCCUUGGCUAUCAGAGGUAGGCCCUUAUC